GCCUGGUGCAGUGGCGCACGCCUGUAAUCCAUGCAGUUUAGGAGGCUGAGGCAGGAGGAUCCUGAGUUCAAAGCCAGCCUUAGCAAAAUCAACGUCCUAAGCAACUCAGUGAGCCCCUGUCUCUA
rnacentral:sRNA from 1 species